rnacentral:rRNA from 1 species
AGUGAACGCUGGCGGUAGGCCUAACACAUGCAAGUCGAACGGCAGCACAGUAAGAGCUUGCUCUUACGGGUGGCGAGUGGCGGACGGGUGAGGAAUACAUCGGAAUCUACUUUUUCGUGGGGGAUAACGUAGGGAAACUUACGCUAAUACCGCAUACGACCUACGGGUGAAAGCAGGGGAUCUUCGGACCUUGCGCGAUUGAAUGAGCCGAUGUCGGAUUAGCUAGUUGGCGGGGUAAAGGCCCACCAAGGCGACGAUCCGUAGCUGGUCUGAGAGGAUGAUCAGCGACACAGGAACUGAGACACGGCCCAGACUCCUACGGGAGGCCGCAGUGGGGAAUAUUGGACAAUGGGCGCAAGCCUGAUCCAGCCAUACCGCGUGGGUGAAGAAGGCCUUCGGGUUGUAAAGCCCUUUUGUUGGGAAAGAAAAGCAGCAGGUUAAUACCACGCUGUUCUGACGGUACCCAAAGAAUAAGCACCGGCUAACUUCGU